rnacentral:rRNA from 1 species
GACGAACGCUGGCGGCGUGCUUAACACAUGCAAGUCGAACGAGGUCCACUGCGUAGCAAUACAAGGGAAGACCUAGUGGCGAACGGGUGCGUAACACGUGAGGAACUUGUCCCGGUCUCUGGGAUAACAGUUGGAAACGACUGCUAAUACCGGAUGACGUCGGAAUCUCGCAUGGGAUACUGACGAAAGGGUUACUGGAUCGGGAGAGCCUCGCGGCCUAUCAGCUUGUUGGUGAGGUAACGGCUCACCAAGGCAUCGACGGGUAGCUGGUCUGAGAGGAUGAUCAGCCACACUGGGACUGAGACACGGCCCAGACUCCUACGGGAGGCAGCAGUGGGGAAUCUUGCGCAAUGGGCGAAAGCCUGACGCAGCAACGCCGCGUGCGGGAAGAAGGCCCUCGGGUUGUAAACCGCUUCUAGUAGGAACGAAAAUAGA